rnacentral:lncRNA from 1 species
UUUUUUUUUUUUCCACAAGAGAUUGCAUAUUUUUGUUAGCAGCUCAAUCACUUAAGCUCCUUCCAAACUCUCGGAUUUAACCAUCUGGACUUGAUAACUUAUUGUUCAGGGAAAGGGGGGGGGCGGAGGUUUUGUAGUUGUUGGGGGUUUUUUUUUCACUGGGUUUGUGGGUUUUUUAUGAGUUGCUUUGUGCCAGCACCCAUUAUUCUACCAGCAUAUUUUCCAACAGAUCCUCAUCUAAGCAGAUAUAGGAAAAGAAUCUCACAAAUACUGUUGGUAGGGACAGCUGAUACAAGAGAAAUCAUAAGAGAAUUCAGCUCCCCAGCAACAUCCUAAAAAUGGAGAUACUGAGUCACUUUAAGCACAGGAGGUGACUGGAAUUGAUCAAUGCGAGUUUUCUUGGAUAACAUCCACUCUGUUCUGACCAACCAGGCUAGUUUUGCUCAUUUGUUUGGGUCUCUUGCUGAAUAGUGAUUUCCAUCUUGACCCCAGAAGAUUCGGGGCAGGAACAGCACUAGCUUGAUUAUAUUCAGCCUAAGGUGUGAUGAAAAGAAAGUGACCUGAGUGCUGGGGGAUGCAUGAACCUGGGAGGAGAUGAAACCCAGAGAGGAUGAAAGGAAGUAAAUCAGAAGGUGAGCAGAACAUUGCUGGGCUGUUAGCUCCGGUGAUUUCCUUUCAACUGCAUCAGCUGCAAGACAUGAAAUGUAAUGGGCAAUGCUGGAGAACUCAAAUAAGUAGCCCCAUUAUGUGAGUGUUUCUCCCUUUGUGCCAGACUGGUUCUCCAUAGAUUUCACCAUGCUGGCUGGCUUGAAAAGGCAUGGCAGUUUAGAUCGGAGCACAGUCCCAUGGCCCUGAUGUGCCACUUACAUUAAGCCAUACCUUCUGCCGGUCCUGCAACAGGGAGUCAGGGAGGAAGCUUGAGAUGGAAAAGAAGCACCCACAGGUUUAUGUCACAAUGAACAUGCAACCAGCUGUGGAUACAUGUUCACCUGCCAACCUGCCUGCAAGCCAACGCUGGCAUUCCAGCUUCUGGAAACCAUCACAGCUCCAUCUAAAGUGACACUUAGAACAUCUGUAUGAAAUCUACCUACCCUGUGACAGACCUGGCAUACCUACCUUAGCUGACAGACACCUAUUCAAGUAUAUUUUGUAAAAGAGGAAGAGAAAUUUCUAUAAAUCCUUCUUAUCUAAUUGCUGCUGUUCAGUUCUUGUGGAGCAUGUUGAUGGGGCAAUUGUAGAAAAAAUAAUGUAGAAAAGAAUUGUAUAAAAAAUUGUGUAGCUUGUUGAAGUCAUUCCCUGUAGAUACUGCCUUUGUGGGGUAAUGUGGCCAUAAGUUUUUCUGGGUAGCCACCUAAAGGCAAGUCUGUGCCUCUUUCUAAGGCCUCACCAACAUCCCUCCAGCACAGAGCAAGGCAAUUCUCAGCAGUGCUGGGCAGCACAUUCACUUCCUCUGGCUCCGUGGGGUGAGGGCCAGGAGGACAUGAGGACAUGAGGAGGGGUUUCUCAGCCAUGCUCCCUCCUCCAUAUCGGGAGCAGAAAAACAUGCACAAGGAGAAGGCAUCUCAAAGCAGGACAAUCACAGGCUGGCUAUUCCCUUAAUGAAGGAGGUGAAUAGAAGAUGAGCAGUUUACUGUGCAGAGCUGGUCCUGCCACAGAGCUUUUGAGAGCACAUCCCUGCCCAGUACAAAUGUGGUCAGGUCAAACUCCAGUCUGUAAUAUCAAUAUAAGGUAUUUCCAUACCACAUUGUCACUGCAGGGACAUUUCUGCCUCCCUCUCCAUCCCUUUUUUCCUUUGCUGCUUCUGUCCUUUUUCUGUCAGGUCCUCCCUCUUUCUCAUCUGUGUCUGCAUCCUCUCCAUGCUCUGUGAGUCUCAGAUUCCCCUUUCCUUCUGCAGCACUUCCCUCCACUGCCUGCAGGUCUCCACCUCCAUGAAGCAAGAGAGGGCUCACAGUGGGAUGAGACAGAGAAGGAACUUGGGGGAGAAAGAGGUCUUCUUCCAACUUAGCCCAAAAAGACUCCCCACACACCAGACACAGCCCUGUUGAAGGUGCCUGUUUUGGCUGGAAUGAAGCAAUAUGGACACUCACACAGAUGCUGUUCUGCACAGGGUAUAAACCAGGUAGGGAGGUAGCACAAGUCCCAUCCAGCUGCUCUUCUAGCAGGGCUUUUAACUUGUCCCCCUCUCUUCACAUGCACUGGUCUGUCAUGUGUGUGUGUCUCAGGGCUGUCCUCAGCUACUUGGCAGUGGCUGUGCAGAAGGUGCAAGGGGGAGGUGAAAUGACGGGGGUUGGGGAUGGCCAGCUGCCAGUCAUGGCCUGUACCAGGGUCCCCUUAGUCCCCUGACACACACAGACACGUGGCACGGCUGCUUGGGGAGGCCCAGCCAAGAAGCCUGUCCUUCUGCACUGAAUCUCUACUCUGUUUCCCAAGUGACAAGCCACAAACUCCCUUUCUCUUCCCAAACAAACAGAGGCUUGAGUGAAUCGCUGCCUCGGCCCUGGCACGCAGCCCCCUGGUCAUUACGGAUUCUCCUCCGGCAUCCAGCGCCCUGCGAAUGACAGCACUCAGCCAUGUCAGCAGAGUCCACAGGCUGAACCUCCCUUCCCUGCAGCAUCUCUCUGUGCAGCCUGAAGCGUUGCUCCUUCACAUCCCUACUCCCCAAACCCCUCCUCUCCUACUGUGUUUGCGGCUACUGCCCGUUCCACAUAAAGGCAGGGGAAGCUGUGGCACAGCAUGGUGACCAGUCUGAGAGUUUGCUAGGAUUAGGAUUAAGACCCUUAGCAACAAGGUUGGGUAGACAGUGUCACCUCUUGACUUUAACCUCCAAAAGCUAAUUUGGCUGGGAUUUAUAGUAAAACCAACUUCAGAUUGCUAAACCUGGUCAAUAAAUUCUCCUAAUCACCAGAGACUUGCACACAUCCACGCAAAAGCAUGAGGCAAAUCAACCCUCACCAUCUUCCUGCCCUUUGGCCCUUCAGCACAAACAAAAUUACCUCCCUCAGCAGGACAAGCACCUGAGUGACAGACCUGGAACAAGUCCCUGCAGCAUAACAGUUGAGGAUUUGCUCUCAUACUCUGUCCCAAAUGAGCACAUGCCUCCAGCGUGGCUGGCUUGGCCUCUGUCCAUGGUGCAACCCCAUUUUCUGCCAACAUGAUCCUCUGAGGAAUGAUAAUGCCUCUCCUGGACCCUGUUCACUGACCUGUAGAGUGGUCAGGGCUGGAGAACAACAUCCUCCUACUGAGACAAUGCUUCCCUCCCCUUCCUCUUCAGCAUGAUGCCUGCCCUCCCCCCAGCCAAUGGCAUCCUCUCCAGCAGCCGCCUGGUGUGGGACAUGGCUUGCUCCCGGACUGUAAUUUAACCCUCUUUCAGACUGGCUUGCCUGACAGGAGGGACUGAACCAGGCUGGCUGCAGCAUGCAAUUACAUCUGUCAGAUUAGCCAUAGCAUGCAUGAUCCGGAGCACGUGCCAGAUGUGGCACACAAACAGCACUCGAGCCAGCACCAAGAGAGGGUUGUGCAGACAGAUAAUACCCAACACAACAUAAAUCCUGCCAGUACAGAGUUAAGCUAGCAUUGUUUUCUAAACAAAUCUCAAACAGCAGAGUGAAUUCAUAUUGGAUCAGCAUUUCCUACCAUGUAGCUGCAGGAGUUUUGACCCAGUACCAAGCUCCCUAGUGCUGGAUUUAUUGUCUUGUCCACCCUAAGUCAGUGCCAAAGCCAUGUCCUGAGAGGACUGAGGAAUUUAACCGAUGCCAAAUUACUUUGGAGGCUCCACAUGGGAAGAGCUUUCUGCAGCCUCCCCAACAAUGACAGUGAGUGUGACUGCAUGGGCACGCUCCCUGCCAGGCUCCGGCCAGGAGGAAGAGUGACACAUCAACAACAGCACGGGCACUUGUCACCCGCAACACAGGCAUGCACGCACCGGGGGGUGUGAACCACAGGGGAAAGGAUCACUUCACAGUAUUAUCAGCUGGCACCAGCAUCAGAAACAACCCCACUAGGCAGCACCAGCCCUUCCCAAGGCUGACUAAAGCUGCUCCUGCGCAGCAUGGUGGUCACAAAGAAGGAAAAUGAGGAACUGGUGCUGAAAGAGGGAAAAGCAGGGCUCGGGGCACCACAGAGAAGGAAGAAAAACAGCAGGAGGCAGCAAAAAGAAGUUGAAGGCAGCAGUUUGUGUAGAAGGGUAGGUAUUGCAGCAGUGGGUCAGGGAGCAUUGAGGAAUUGCAGCUGGGGAAAACUGAUGGCAGGGUCCUGCAGAGGCAGCAGAGAGAUGCACUGGAAGAGGUAGUGGAAGAUGCGCCCUCCUUGUCAGCAUCACCAGGUGGGACCUGGGCAGGAGGGGAGCAACCCAUCACUUCCUUUAGGGGACACCACACCAGCACCACUGUUGGGGCUGCACAGCAGCACAGACCCUGCCAGUCCCUUCCCCUCAGAGAAACACAACAGCCCCCAAAAUCUGACUCGGAAAAACUCUGGUCUCUGCCAGAGUCUGUUCAGAGCCUGAAACCAGAGCCUGGCAGGUUGCAAACUCCCAGACCUCCCCUUUAAAAUCCACUCCUCUGAGGCUACCCACUACUUCGUCAGCAGCUCAUUUCUUUAGGGUCUAUUUUGGGGAGAGGCAUCUCCAGGCACGUUCAUGCUCCUUGAGGACUGGCAGCAUGUCUGGGCCUGCCCAGGCACUGGGAGAAACAGCUGCUCCCACUCCCCUCCCACCUCCACACCACAGCAGCUCCAGCAGCUCGGAGACAUGGCUUGGAAAUAGUGCAGCUGAUCUUCCUGCUUUCCCUGCAGAGGAGCUGAGGAGAGGAGCACUGAGGGCAGCCCCAGGCGGCAGGAGGCCCUUUCAGGUGCUCCCAAGAGCUUUGCACCCCAAAAUGGGUCAGGCUCGGCACAGGGCCCCUUCACUGCCUGUGCAGGGCACACAGCGUUCCCAGCUUAUGAAACACACUGCCUCCAGUAGGAAAACAUCCCUUUCCAGUUGAGAAGGAGCACCAGGGGACAGCAGAUAAGCAGUGACAAAGAGCAUGCCCAUCACCCCAAAAGCUCAAAAGCUGUGGCAGGCUGGGCCGGGUAUUCAGAGGAGGUACCUGGCUAGGAAAUGGAGGCCAGCAUCUUCUAUGGGGAAUCGGAAUCCCCAAAAUAUCUGUGAGAUGAGGAGGGAGGGGGAAUCCCCCCCUCUAUGGCCCACUCCUGGUAGCAUGAUGCCCACUCCUGCUCCAAGCUGCAUCCCUGAGGUGGCCCAGGCCAGGGCUGCAGAGCCCAGCUUUUCUGCUGGCCAGGCUGCAGCAGAGUCAGCCUGGCUGCCCCUUCUCCCGAGAAACAGGGGAGGUGGAGGAAAAUGCCGAAUGGAGAAGAGCAGACAGGUGUGUGCCCAGGGAGGGGUGGGAAAGGGGCGGAAUACACUCAGGACUGCGUGCGGGGGACCCGCAGCGCGUCCCUCGGCUGCUCUGCAAACAACCCCUCCCUGCACACGCAGGCAGAGCCGCAAGGGAAGGGGCUCAGAGGGGAGGGAGCAGCUCUCCGUUGUGGGGAGAGUGCUGAUGAAAGCCUAGAUUUUGUUCACAGUAUAGCAGAAACCCCUGCCCUUCUCCUCCCUCACACCUCUGGGGAACGAGCAACGAGAGGGAGGGAGGGCGGGAUGGAGAGAGGCACAGACAGAGGUGCUGAGGUUGGCUUACCUCGCAGUGCCUGCGCCGGGGGUGCCCGGGUGCGCGGGAGGUAAAUCCAGGGCUCUGCUCUCCUUGGCAAGUGCUGGGAAAGGUCUCUGUUCAGUCACAUGAAGGAGUGGCCUGUGAGUAGGUGCUCCAGCUCACCGCUCGAUCGAAGCUGCCAUGGAUUCAUUGCGAACGACUUCGCCUUC